UUUUCUUCCGUUCUGUCCUCCAAAUCAGCCUCUUCCGAGCCUGUUGACCAGGGCCAGCCAGGCAGAGGGCUGGGUUCGCUCAACGAGGCUCCUCUCGGCCCUCCUGGAGCUUCAGGCCUCUUUCGGUUGCAGAGAAGCUUUAUGGGCCACUUCCUUCGGCAUCCCCGGGGGCAGGUGCGCGGUGCCCGGGGAAGAAGAGGGUUUGACUGCGGUUCUCGACCCCCGGCGACCAACCUCCACCCCGGUGGGCGCGCUCUUCCAGGCUCCUGCUGGUCCCACUGGCCGGGAGUCAGGUCUCGGGUCAGCCUGAGCUCCAGAGACGCCCAGGCCCGGAAGGACACGUAGGGGAAACCAGCUGCUCACUUUGGUCUUGUCCGCAACGGACCUCUUGCUGCCAGGAAAGAAAGGCGUCGAGUCCUGUCCUGUUGGGUAGGCGGAAGAGCGAUCAAAGGGAAGACAAGAAAUAUCCUGGGAGGUUUCAGGAUCUAAAGUUACCAUGAAGUCAACCUAACCUCCUCUGGAGGUCCUCCCAGUCCUCCCGUGGCUGGCGAUGGUGAAUCGAGUUUCCGUCUCCAGUUUGCCAAGGCAGACAAAGCCGACACAAUGGGCCUGUCCACUAUCUUCUUUCAUAUACACAAAAUGUCAGCUCUUCCUGUUUCUAACUGGCAACAUCCCGCCUGAUGACCAGCUUAGCAAAUUAGAGACUCUCCAUGGGAUUCCAUCUGUGUCUUAGUUCGGGCUUCUCUAACACUGUACCAUACAUAAACUGGGUGGCUGAUUCACAACAGAAAUUGAUUUCUCACAGUUCCGGAGGUUGGAAGUCCGAGAUCAAGGUGCCGACAUGCUAAACAAGCACUGGCCUUGAGAUAAGCAAUGCUGAAGCACUUGCAGCUCACCCAUUACCAUAAACUGACUGAGCCCUCCCUACACAAGCCAUAACUACAGCUUUGAUUGGACAAGAGACUGAUUUCAGUAACUUCCCCUUGAUAAGAGAGCACUGGCUGUGGACGGGUUCUGGACGUUUUACAGAGGCUGUGCACUUGACUGCCUUUGUGUCCCUGCUUCCCCUUUUGAAGCAUAGGGACUAAUUAUAAUGUAUUUAAAUGUCAUCUCCACCCCAAAGUGAACAUGGGUUGCAUGUAACAGGCUUGUUUACUCAGCAUGCAUGCAGCACGAUCCCUUCAUGAAUAUUCAGAGCUCCUCCUAUUCCCUGUUGAAUAUGCAUAUGUGGCCCACCAGAUCAACAUAAAUCCCUGUUCCCCCCUCCCCUCCCUGGAAACCUACUUUUCGGUUUCAGCAGGAGGGUAUGCCUCCCAGUCUGUGGGAAUGGCCACCUUGCAGGCUGUAACCAUUUAUAAAAAAUAAAAUCUCCCUUCUAAAUUUAUAAAUUGUGUGAUUUUUCAGUUGACAGCUUUCAGUCAGACUUUUCACUGACUGGGAAAAUUCAUUUGCAAUAUAUUUAUUUUAAAAAUGACUCCUCAGCAUACAAAAUUCUUGUGCAAAGAUCACAAGCAUUCUUAUACACCAAUAACAGACAAACAGAGAGCCAAAUCAUGAGGGAAC
rnacentral:lncRNA from 1 species